GACGAACGCUGGCGGCGUGCUUAACACAUGCAAGUCGAACGGUGAAGGAGAGCUUGCUCUCCGGAUCAGUGGCGAACGGGUGAGUAACACGUGGGCAACCUGCCCCAGACUUCGGGAUAACGCUUCGAAAGAGGUGCUAAUACCGGAUACGAACUCCUUGGGCAUCCUUGGAGUUGGAAAGUUUUUCGGUCUGGGAUGGGCCCGCGGCCUAUCAGCUUGUUGGUGAGGUAACGGCUCACCAAGGCGACGACGGGUAGCCGGCCUGAGAGGGCGACCGGCCACACUGGGACUGAGACACGGCCCAGACUCCUACGGGAGGCAGCAGUGGGGAAUAUUGCGCAAUGGGCGAAAGCCUGACGCAGCAACGCCGCGUGAGGGAUGACGGCCUUCGGGUUGUAAACCUCUUUCAGCAGGGAAGAAGCGAAAGUGACGGUACCUGCAGAAGAAGCACCGGCUAACUACGUGCCAGCCGCCGCAGUAACAC
rnacentral:rRNA from 1 species